UGCAAGAAAGUGCACGGGACUAUGAGCACCU
rnacentral:piRNA from 1 species